rnacentral:rRNA from 1 species
GACGAACGCUGGCGGCGUGCCUAAUACAUGCAAGUAGAACGCUGAAGAGAGGAGCUUGCUCUUCUUGGAUGAGUUGCGAACGGGUGAGUAACGCGUAGGUAACCUGCCUUGUAGCGGGGGAUAACUAUUGGAAACGAUAGCUAAUACCGCAUAACAAUAGGUGACACAUGUCAUUUAUUUGAAAGGGGCAAUUGCUCCACUACAAGAUGGACCUGCGUUGUAUUAGCUAGUAGGGGAGGUAACGGCUCACCUAGGCGACGAUACAUAGCCGACCUGAGAGGGUGAUCGGCCACACUGGGACUGAGACACGGCCCAGACUCCUACGGGAGGCAGCAGUAGGGAAUCUUCGGCAAUGGGGGCAACCCUGACCGAGCAACGCCGCGUGAGUGAAGAAGGGUUUCGGAUCGUAAAGCUCUGUUGUAAGUCAAGAACGAGUGUGAGAGUGGAAAGUUCACACUGUGACGGUAGCUUACCAGAAAGGGACGGCUAACUACGUG